rnacentral:rRNA from 1 species
UACAGAGGUCUCAAGCGUUGUUCGGAUUCAUUGGGCGUAAAGGGUGCGUAGGUGGCGCCAUAAGUCAGGUGUGAAAUCUCGGGGCUCAACUCCGAAACUGCACUUGAUACUGUGGUACUCGAGUACUGGAGAGGAGAUUGGAAUUUACGGUGUAGCAGUGAAAUGCGUAGAUAUCGUAAGGAAGACCAGUGGCGAAGGCGAAUCUCUGGACAGUUACUGACACUGAGGCACGAAGGCCAGGGGAGCAAACGGG